UGGAUGGCCAUGAACUGCGCCCUCGUCCCAUAUGCUGUCCAUCAUUGGUGAAUGAAUGAAGUAGCUGGGCUCAUAGUUUGAUACAGAUGUCCGUGGUUGGGCUACAAAUAUCUGAAUUUGUCCUUAAUCUUGUGCAACAGUAAACAGGUGGAAUUACCUCUGGGUCGGACAGGGCUAGCCAGCUGUAAUCCACCCUGCUACGGUGAUGCCCGCCUGCCUCCCGGCUUUUACGACCAAGAAUCGGAGCGCUGAUGUGAUGUUUCCCCGUCGACUGAUGAGGGAAGGAAGAGAAGGCAGCCACGACACGCGAUUGUUCAACAUGACAGUGAGACAGAAAAAUAAUGUCAAGAUAAAUAAAAAAUCAUGAUGAGUGAA